AUUCCAUCGAUACCAAAACAUCAAAAUACCGCCAUCUAGUUUUUUUUCUCUACAACCUAAUACACUAUUUAUUUUAUCAAAUAUGUCUAACUACUACUUCUACUUCAACUAUUUUCCUACCCUCUGUAACUACUUAAGUCGAAAAUAAUGUUACUUGGUAACUAAAAAUAUUUCUGAGAUAUUACAACUCUCCCUCACAACCCCUAUUUGAAAAACACGGUGUCCAUAUCCUUUAUUCUUUCCUAUUCUAGGCUGUUUGUGUAAAUGUUCCUUACCUGUCUAACUGUCAAAUUUAUAAAAAAAAACUAAACUGCCACUGUCAAUGUCAACCUGACAUAACCUUAACCCUUUUUUUUUUCGGCACUAAACAAAACAAAAGCAUGCGUCGUUGUGUUCAACAACAUCGAUCGCACGAAGAAAUCUAAAGUUUACCCGAUUAAACUUACGAAACUCUAAAAUAAUGAGUGAAUCUCACAGGACCAAACAUAACAAUGCAAAACCAACUACACUCUUUGUUGAACUAAAACCCAUGAUAAACCACUGAUCAAACCAUCCACUGUGACAAAACAUUCACAAUCCCUCACUAAUUAUAUACCAAAGUUACUAUUCUACAAUAAGAUAUGACAUACUUUGUGAAUGCUGAUGAUGAUGAUGUUCUAUAUUUGACAACCAAACUCUGAGACUAUAUACUAUGAAGUAAACAUCCUGACUCAGAUGAAGAAGUGUAUUGCAACUGCGCUCAAAAUAGGAACAACUAAACUACCCACAUAGUUCUUAACUUACAAACAAUAUAUUGAUACUAAAUGAGGUCCUAGCCUACUUCACCUGGUCUAACACUUUAUCAACAACAGUAACUUGCUACACAUUAAUUGUUUUCUAAAUUUAUUGUUAUAUCUUAUCGCUAUCUUUUCAUCAUAUAUUUCUUUAAAAAUUUUUUUUUCAAAUGAGAUUAUUGUUAUAUUUUCUUUUCUUUAUUAACUGUAAUACAUACUUGUAUUUGUUUAGGAAAAUGUCUGAUAAUAUCUGCUACUAAUUGGCUCUCUGAAAUCUGAUAAUAAGACAUUUGGGCUUUUCCGGUUACUCUAAGUUAGGAUGUUAGCAUAGAUAGUGUUACAGUUCUAUCCCAACUCCUAUGAUCUAUGUUGUAUAAUAUAUUAUCUACUCUUUCAAACAUUCAAGUAUAGUAAUUUUAGAGCCUAGUUUUUAAGCACCUAGUCGAUGACAAGCAAAGAUCCGAUCCAGAAGCACAAUCAACCACAUCAACAAACCAAAGAACCCGCACAACAAAACUCAUACAAUCAAUACCAAACCGAACCAACCCAGCCAAAAGGAUGAUUAAUAAUUAUAGACUAGUUGCUAUAACUACCGAUCCCCCCCCAACCAGGCCAGUCCAAUCCAGCACCAACCAUACAAGCCCCGCCACGCAAACUCCUCGAUCCACCGAUGCAGCCAACCGCACCCCCAGACCAAAAUCCCCACCCCUCAUCUACCUGGGCCAGAAUGUCUAUAUCUAUUUUAAUC